rnacentral:rRNA from 1 species
UACGUAGGGUGCGAGCGUUAAUCGGAAUUACUGGGCGUAAAGCGCACGUAGGCGGCUUUGUAAGUUAGAGGUGAAAGCCUGGUGCUCAACACCAGAACUGCCUUUAAGACUGCAUCGCUUGAAUCAUGGAGAGGCGGGUGGAAUUCCGAGUGUAGAGGUGAAAUUCGUAGAUAUUCGGAAGAACACCAGUGGCGAAGGCGACUUACUGGACACAUAUUGAGCGCUGAGGUGCGAAAGCGUGGGGAGCAAACAGGAUUGAGAAACC